UACAGAGGAGCCAAGCGUUGUCCGGAUUGACUGGGCGUAAAGCGCACGCAGGCGGAUGCGCGCGUGGGGUGUGAAAUCUGGCCGCUUAACGGCCAGGCGCCAUCCCAUACGGCGCGUCUGGAGGGCUGCAGAGGUCGAUGGAAUUGCCGGUGUAGUGGUGAAAUGCGUAGAGAUCGGCAGGAACACCCAGGGGGAAACCAGUCGACUGGGCAGCACCUGACGCUGAGGUGCGAGAGCGUGGGGAGCGAACAGG
rnacentral:rRNA from 1 species